rnacentral:rRNA from 1 species
GUUGUAUGGUUAAGUGACUAAGCGUACACGGUGGAUGCCUUGGCAGUCAGAGGCGAUGAAAGACGUAGUAACUUGCGAUAAGCCCAGAUUAGGUAGUAACAACCAUUUGAGUCUGGGAUUUCUGAAUGGGGAAACCCACGUGCAUAAGCACGUAUCCUUACCUGAAUACAUAGGGUAAGGAGGCGAACCGGGGGAACUGAAACAUCUAAGUACCCCGAGGAAAAGAAAUCAACCGAGAUUCCGAAAGUAGCGGCGAGCGAAAUUGGACUAGCCCUUAAGCUUUACACGCGUUAGACGAACGGUCUGGAAAGUCCGACGAUACAGGGUGAUAGUCCCGUAGUUGACGACGUGUGUUCAGUGAAAUCGAGUAGGGCGGGACACGUGAUAUCCUGUCUGAAUAUGGGGGGACCAUCCUCCAAGGCUAAAUACUACUGACUGACCGAUAGUGAACCAGUACCGUGAGGGAAAGGCGAAAAGAACCCCUGUGAGGGGAGUGAAAUAGAACCUGAAACCGUGUACGUACAAGCAGUAGGAGCAGGCAUUGCGUCCUGUGACUGCGUACCUUUUGUAUAAUGGGUCAGCGACUUAUAUUCAGUGGCAAGGUUAACCAUCUAGGGGAGCCGUAGGGAAACCGAGUCUUAACUGGGCGUUCAGUCUCUGGAUAUAGACCCGAAACCAGGUGAUCUAGCCAUGGGCAGGUUGAAGGUUGAGUAACAUCAACUGGAGGACCGAACCGACUAAUGUUGAAAAAUUAGCGGAUGACUUGUGGCUAGGGGUGAAAGGCCAAUCAAACCUGGAGAUAGCUGGUUCUCCCCGAAAGCUAUUUAGGUAGCGCCUCGGACGAAUACUACUGGGGGUAGAGCACUGUUAAGGCUAGGGGGUCAUCCCGACUUACCAACCCUUUGCAAACUCCGAAUACCAGUAAGUACUAUCCGGGAGACACACGGCGGGUGCUAACGUCCGUCGUGGAGAGGGAAACAACCCAGACCGCCAGCUAAGGUCCCAAAUUACUACUAAGUGGGAAACGAUGUGGGAAGGCUCAGACAGCCAGGAUGUUGGCUUAGAAGCAGCCAUCAUUUAAAGAAAGCGUAAUAGCUCACUGGUCGAGUCGGCCUGCGCGGAAGAUGUAACGGGGCUAAGUAGUAAACCGAAGCUGCGGCAAUGUGCUUUUGCACAUUGGGUAGGGGAGCGUUCUGUAAGCGGUUGAAGGUGUGUGGUAACGCAUGCUGGACGUAUCAGAAGUGCGAAUGCUGACAUGAGUAACGAUAAAGGGGGUGAAAAACCUCCUCGCCGGAAGACCAAGGGUUCCUGUCCAACGUUAAUCGGGGCAGGGUAAGUCGACCCCUAAGGCGAGGCCGAAAGGCGUAGUCGAUGGGAAACGGGUUAAUAUUCCCGUACUUCUUACAAUUGCGAUGGGGGGACGGAGAAGGCUAGGUGGGCCUGGCGACGGUUGUCCAGGUUCAAGUGCGUAGGCUUAAGAGUUAGGUAAAUCCGGCUCUUUUUAAGGCUGAGACACGACGUCGAGCACCUACGGGUGUGAAGUCAUUGAUGCCAUGCUUCCAGGAAAAGCCUCUAAGCUUCAGAUUGUAAGGAAUCGUACCCCAAACCGACACAGGUGGUCGGGUAGAGAAUACCAAGGCGCUUGAGAGAACUCGGGUGAAGGAACUAGGCAAAAUGGUACCGUAACUUCGGGAGAAGGUACGCUCUUGAUGGUGAAGUCCCUUGCGGAUGGAGCUGACGAGAGUCGCAGAUACCAGGUGGCUGCAACUGUUUAUUAAAAACACAGCACUGUGCAAAAUCGUAAGAUGACGUAUACGGUGUGACGCCUGCCCGGUGCCGGAAGGUUAAUUGAUGGGGUUAGACUUCGGUCGAAGCUCUUGAUCGAAGCCCCGGUAAACGGCGGCCGUAACUAUAACGGUCCUAAGGUAGCGAAAUUCCUUGUCGGGUAAGUUCCGACCUGCACGAAUGGCGUAAUGAUGGCCACGCUGUCUCCACCCGAGACUCAGUGAAAUUGAAAUCGCUGUGAAGAUGCAGUGUACCCGCGGCUAGACGGAAAGACCCCGUGAACCUUUACUACAGCUUGGCACUGAACAUUGACCCUACAUGUGUAGGAUAGGUGGGAGGCUUUGAAGCACGUACGCCAGUAUGUGUGGAGCCGUCCUUGAAAUACCACCCUUGUAGUGUUGAUGUUCUAACGUCGACCCCUUAUCGGGGUUGCGGACAGUGCCUGGUGGGUAGUUUGACUGGGGCGGUCUCCUCCCAAAGAGUAACGGAGGAGCACGAAGGUGGGCUAAUCACGGUUGGACAUCGUGAGGUUAGUGCAAUGGCAUAAGCCCGCUUGACUGCGAGAAUGACAAUUCGAGCAGGUGCGAAAGCAGGUCAUAGUGAUCCGGUGGUUCUGAAUGGAAGGGCCAUCGCUCAACGGAUAAAAGGUACUCCGGGGAUAACAGGCUGAUACCGCCCAAGAGUUCAUAUCGACGGCGGUGUUUGGCACCUCGAUGUCGGCUCAUCACAUCCUGGGGCUGAAGUCGGUCCCAAGGGUAUGGCUGUUCGCCAUUUAAAGUGGUACGCGAGCUGGGUUUAGAACGUCGUGAGACAGUUCGGUCCCUAUCUGCCGUGGGCGUUGGAAGAUUGAAGGGGGCUGCUCCUAGUACGAGAGGACCGGAGUGGACGAACCUCUGGUGUUCGGGUUGUGUCGCCAGACGCAUUGCCCGGUAGCUAAGUUCGGAAUCGAUAACCGCUGAAAGCAUCUAAGCGGGAAGCGAGCCCUGAGAUGAGUCUUCCCUGAUACUUUAAGUAUCCUAAAGGGUUGUCGGAGACUACGACGUUGAUAGGUCAGGUGUGUAAGUGCUGUGAGGCAUUGAGCUAACUGAUACUAAUUGCCCGUGAGGCUUAACCAUACAACACCCAAGGGGUUU